AUUUAUUUAUACACUACACUUGAAACAAAUUGCCAAAACGAAAAUUGCAGACGUUACUAGUGCCUCCCUCGGCACAACACCGGAAUUGAUAUGAGAUGCCCUCAAAUUUUUUGCAUACAAGCAAUUCCAUGGUAAAGGAAUUGCGCUCAGACACCGAUGUUUCACUUAAAAGUGGAGAGAACAGCAAACAUGGAAAAGCCUGGCAUGCUUUCUCCUUUGACCGGUAAAGGCUGUGGAUCCGAAGGUAACCACCCUCGUUUCGGCACACCCCUUUGGCCUCUUCCCCAGAGCUGAGGAUCCAAAUCACGUUUGGCACGUUUGUUAAACACAUCUUUGUGUAUUUAAUUUUUUUAUAUUUUAUUGAUCUUUUGAGUUAUGUACAGUGUUGUUUUGAAUGAUGUACUGGGAGUGAAUUUUAGAGCAGAUGGUGUUAACUUGCGUAGGCCUGCCUGUGUUUUAUUUCAAAGCACAUUUUGGCACAACGCUGUUGAGUUUUGGCGGCAAGAGAGAAAUGCGACCAUUCGCACAAUCAUCCUAAAAUCUCAUAAAUGAGGUGGUGUUUUGUCUUACAGUAACGUUAUGCUAUUAUAAUUGGUUAUGUACAAUCCCAUAACUAUGUGAUCUUGCAGACAUUGCUUAAGCUUUGAUCUAACUUUGAUCUAACCGGGCCUUCACGACUGGACUACCGACGUUAUCUGCCCUAGGGAGUUAUCCAACUGGCCCCUCUUUCGCGAUGUAACCUGAACGCCCAUCUGCGGCCCGCUAAUCGUUAGCUGUCGUUAGCUGUUAUCGGCUGCUAUCUGAAUAGGUCUAUCGGACAAUUUUCUUGGGCCACAAUAACUAUAACUAUUUUGCCAGUUAGAUUGGUCCCCUCUACCACAUGGAACCCCACUAAUCUACCGACAGAAACGCACAAGGUGGGUAAAAACAGACCUCCAUCUUCUGCCAGUUUGCUACCCAUGGCCCGGCUAGCUGUCUGAAUCGCCGUGACCCCAACCAGCCUCACUACUCACUGGACCCUUAUGAUCACUCGGCUAAGCAUGCCUCUCCUUAAUGUCAAUAUGCCUUGUCCAUUGCUGUUCUGGUUAGUGUUCAUUGGCUUAUUUCACUGUAGAGCCUCUAGCCCUGUUCAUUAUACCUUAUCCAACCUUUCAGUUCCACCACCCACACAUGCGAUGACAUCACCUGGUUUCAAUUAUGUUUCUAGAGACAAUAUCUCUCUCAUCAUCACUCAAUGCCUAGGUUUACCUCCACUGUAUUAACAUCCUACCAUACCUUUGUCUGUACAUUAUACCUUGAAGCUAUUUUAUCGCCCCCAGAAACCUGCUCCUUUUACUCUCUGUUCCGGACGUCCUAGACGACCAAUUCUCAUAGCUUUUAGCCGUACCCUUAUCCUACUCCUCCUCUGUACAUCUGGUGAUGUAGAGGUGAAUCCAGGCAAUGCAGUGCCUAGCUCCACCCAUAUUCCCCGGGCGCUCUCUUGAUGACCUCUGUAACCGUAAUAGCCUUGGUUUCAUGCAUGUUAACAUUAGAAGCCUCCUCCCUAAGUUUGUUUUAUUCACUGCUUUAGCACACUCUGCCAACCCGGAUGUCCUAGCCUUGUCUGAAUCCUGGCUUAGGAAGACCACCAAAAACUCUGAAAUCUCCAUCCCUAACUACAACAUUUUCAGACAAGAUAGAACGGCCAAAGGGGGCGGUGUUGCAAUCUUCUGCAGAGUUAGUCUGCAGUGUUCUGUUCUACUAUCCAGGUCUGUACCCAAACAAUUUGAAUUUCUACUUUUAAAAAUCCACCUCUCUCAAAACAAGUCUCUCACCGUUGCCGCCUGCUAUAGACCACCCUUUGCCCCAGCUGUGCUCUGGACACCAUAUGUGAACUGAUUGCCCCCCAUCUAUCUUCAGAGCUCGUGCUGUUAGGUGACCUAAACUGGGACAUGCUUAACACCCCAGCCAUCCUACAAUCUAAGCUUGAUGCCCUCAAUCUCACACAAAUGAUCAAUGAACCUACUAGGUACCACCCCAAAGCCAUAAACACGGGCACCCUCAUAGAUAUCAUCCUAACCAACUUGCCCUCUAAAUACACCUCUUCUGUUUUCAACCAAAAUCUCAGCGAUCACUGCCUCAUUGCCUGCAUCCGUAAUGGGUCAGCGGUCAAACGACUUCCACUCAUCACUGUCAAACGCUCCCUGAAACACUUCAGCGAGCAGGCCUUUCUAAUCGACCUGGCCCGGGUAUCCUGGAAGGAUAUUGACCUCAUCCCAUCAGUAGAGGAUGCCUGGUUAUUUUUUUUAAAUACCUUCCUCACCAUCUUAAAUAAGCAUGCCCCAUUCAAGAAAUUUAGAACCAGGAACAGAUAUAGCCCUUGGUUCUCUCCAGACCUGACUGCCCUUAACCAACACAAAAACAUCCUGUGGCGUUCUGCAUUAGCAUCGAACAGCCCACGUGAUAUGCAACUUUUCAGGGAAGUUAGAAACCAAUAUACACAGGCAGUUAGAAAAGCUAAGGCUAGCUUUUUCAAGCAGAAAUUUGCUUCCUGCAACACAAACUCAAAAAGGUUCUGGGACACUAAAGUCCAUGGAGAAUAAGAACACCUCCUCCCAGCUGCCCACUUCACUGAGGAUAGGAAACUCUGUCACCACCGAUAAAUCCACUAUAAUUGAGAAUUUCAAUAAGCAUUUUUCUAUGGCUGGCCAUGCUUUCUACCUGGCUACACCUACCCCGGUCAACAGCCCUGCAAUCCCACAGCAACUCGCCCAAGCCUUCCCCAUUUCUCCUUUUCCCAAAUCCAGUCAGCUGAUGUUCUGAAAGAGCUGCAAAAUCUGGACCCCUACAAAUCAGCCGGGCUAGACAAUCUGGACCCUUUCUUUCGAAAAUGAUCUGUCAAAAUUGUUGCAACCCCUAUUUCUAGCCUGUUCAACCUCUCUUUCGUGUCGUCUGUGAUUCCCAAAGAUUGGAAAGCAGCUGCGGUCAUCCACCUCUUCAAAGGGGGGGACAUUCUUGACCCAAACUGCUACAGACAUAUCUAUCCUACCCUGCCUUUCUAAGGUCUUCGAACGCCAAGUCAACAAACAGAUUACCGACCAUUUUGAAUCCCACCGCACCUUCUCCGCUAUGCAAUCUGGUUUCAGAGCUGGUCAUGGGUGCACCUCAGCCACGCUCAAGGUCCUAAACUAUAUCUUAACUGCCAUCGAUAAGAAACAAUACUGUGCAGCCGUAUUCAUUGACCUGGCCAAGGCUUUCGACUCUGUCAAUCACCACAUCCUCAUCGGCAGACUCAAUAGCCUUGGUUUCUCAAAUGAUUGCCUCGCCUGGUUCACCAACUACUUCUCUGAUAGAGUUCAGUGUGUCAAAUCGGAGGGCCUGUUGUCCGGGCCUCUGGCAGUCUCUAUGGGGGUGCCACAGGGUUCAAUUCUUGGGCCGACUCUCUUCUCUGUAUACAUCAAUGAUGUCACUCUUGCUGCUGGUGAGUCUCUGAUCCACCUCUACGCAGACGACACCAUUCUGUAUACUUCUGGCCCUUCUUUUGGACACUGUGUUAACAACCCUCCAGACGAGCUUCAAUGCCAUACAACUCUCCUUCCGUGGCCUCCAACUGCUCUUAAAUACAAGUAAAACUAAAUGCAUGCUCUUCAACCGAUCGCUGCCUGCACCUGCCCGCCCGUCCAGCAUCACUACUCUGGACGGUUCUGACUUAGAAUAUGUGGACAACUACAAAUACCUAGGUGUCUGGUUAGACUGUAAACUCUCCUUCCAGACUCACAUCAAACAUCUCCAAUCCAAAGUUAAAUCUAGAAUUGGCUUCCUAUUUUGCAACAAAGCAUCCUUCACUCAUGCUGCCAAACAUACCCUUGUAAAACUGACCAUCCUACCGAUCCUCGACUUCGGCAAUGUCAUUUACAAAAUAGCCUCCAACACCCUACUCAAUAAAUUGGAUGCAGUCUAUCACAUCGCCAUCUGUUUUGUCACCAAAGCCCCAUAUACUACACACCACUGCGACCUGUACGCUCUCGUUGGCUGGCCCUCGCUUCAUACUCGUCGCCAAACCCACUGGCUCCAGGUCAUCUACAAGACCCUGCUAGGUAAAGUCCCCCCUUAUCUCAGCUCGCUGGUCACCAUAGCAGCACCCAUCUGUAGCACGCGCUCCAGCUCUCUGGUCACCCCCAAAGCCAAUUUCCUCCUCCUUCCAGUUCUCUGCUGCCAAUGACUGGAACGAACUACAAACAUCUCUGAAACUGGAAACACUUAUCUCCCUCACUAGCUUUAACCUCUCUAGGGUACGUGGGACGGUAGCAUCCCACCUCGUCAACAGCCAGUGAAACUGCAGGUCGACAAAUUCAAAACAACAGAAAUCCCAUAAUUAAAAUUCCUCAAACAUACAUGUAUUUUAAACCAUUUUAAAGAUACACUUGUUGUAAAUCCAGCCACAGUGUACGAUUUCAAAAAGGCUUUACGACGAAAGCAAACCAAACGAUUAUGUUUGGUGAGUGCCUAUUCACAGAAUAACAGCCAUUUUUCCAGCCAAAGAGAGGAUUCACAAAAAGCAGAAAUAUAGAUAAAAUUAAUCACUAACCUUUGAUGAUCUUCAUCAGAUGACACUCAUAGGACUAUAUGUUACACAAUACAUGCAUGUUUUGUUCGGUGAAGUUCAUAUUUAUAUCCAAAAUCUGAGUUUACAUUGACGCGUUACGUUCAGUAGUUCCAAAACAUCCAGUGAUUUUGCAGAGCCACAUCAAUUUACAGAAAUACUCAUUAUAAAUGUUGAUGAUAAUACAAGUGUUAUGCAUGGAACUUUAGAUGCACUUCUCCUUAAUGCAACCGCUGUGUCAGAUUUCAAAAAAGCUUUACGGAAAUAGCAAACCAUGCAAUAACCUGAGGUCGGUGCUCAGAGCCCAAUCAAGACAAAAAGAUAUCCGCCAUAUUGUGCAGUCAACAGAAGUCAGAGAUAACAUUAGAAACAUUCACUUACCUUUGAUGAUCUUCCUCAGAAUGCACUCCCAGGAAUCCCAGUUCGACAAUAAAUGUUUGUUUUGUUCGAUAAUGUCCAUAAUUUAUGUCCAAAUUCAUCCUUGUUGUUCUAGCGUUCAGUACACUUUCCAAACUCACGACGCGCGUGCAAGUCCAGCGGAAAGUACGUACGAAAAGUUUAAAAAGUUAUAUUACAGUCCGUAGAAACAUGACAAACGAAGUAUUGAAUCAAUCUUUAGGAUGUUUUUAACAUAAUUCUUCAAUAAUGUUCCAACCGGAGAAUUCCUUUGUCUUCAGAAGUGCGAUGGAACAGAGCUCGCUCUCACAUGAACGCGCAUGGUCAGCGCAUGUUCAGGUCAUGGUAGACCUUACUCAAUCCCCUCUCAUUCGGCCCCACUUCACAGUAGAAGCAUCAGACAAGGCUCUAAAGACUGUCGACAUCUAGUGGAAGCCUUAGGAAGUUCAACAUGACCAAUAUCCCACUGUAUCUUCAAUAGGGGCUGAGUUGAAAAUCGACCAACCUCAGAUUUCCCACCUCCUGGUUGGAUUUUUUCUCAGGUUGUUGCCUGCCAUAUGAGUUCUGUUAUACUCACAGACAUCAUUCAAACAGUUUUAGAAACUUCAGAGUGUUUUCUAUCCAACUCUACUAAUAAUAUGCAUAUUCUAGCUUUUAUGGCUGAGUAGCAGGCCGUUUACUCUGGGCACGCUUUUCAUCCGGACGUGAAAAUACUGCCCCCUACCCAAAAUAAGUUAAGCACCAGCUGUCAGAGCAGCUCACAGAUUACUGCACCUGUACAUAGCCCAUCUAUAAUUUAGCCCAAACAACUACCUCUUCCCCUACUGUAUUUAUUUAUUUUGCUCCUUUGCAUCCGAUUAUUUCUAUUUCUACUUGGCACAUUCUUCCACUGCAAAUCUACCAUUCCAGUGUUUUACUUGCUAUAUUGUAUUUACUUCACCACCAUGGCCUUUUUUUGCCUUUACCUCCCUUAUCUCACCUCAUUUGCUCACAUUGUAUAUAGACUUAUUUUUCUACUGUAUUAUUGACUGUAUGUUUGUUUUACUCCAUGUGUAACUCUGUGUUGUUGUAUGUGUCGAACUGCUUUGUUUUAUCUUGGCCAGGUCGCAAUUGUAAAUGAGAACUUGUUCUCAACUUGCCUACCUGGUUAAAUAAAGGCUAUAAAAUAGUCAUGACGUAUUCAGCCGUCUGUGUCCUAGCCUUGUAAAAAUGGCCUCAUCUGUCUCUUCCUCCCCUCCACGACUUUCCUCUUUACUUAGAAUAGAUGCCUGCCUUUAGCGUCUCUGUUCCACUACUCCAAAUCAUUCCCUUAGCCUCGCCCAUUGGCACCGCCACAUCCACUACCUCUCUAAGGGCCUGUUUAGCUAGCACAUAUACCUAAUUAUUCCCUUCCACCUCCAAUGGCAGGGGUAUUCAACUCUCACUCUACAAGGUCUGGAACCUGCUAGUUCUGUUCUACCUGAUAAUGAAUUGCACCCACCUGGUUUCCCAGGUCUACAUCUGUCCCUGAUUGAGGUCCAGAGUUGAGUUUGCGGGCCCUAUGGGUUGGGAUCCAAGCGAAACUCAUCUAAACACAGCACCCAUUUGUUUAA